rnacentral:lncRNA from 1 species
AUGGAGCUCCGGCCACAGGAGAACAUGCUGGUGGAUGUGUCCUUCUCACUCUCCCUGGAGCUGCUCUCCUACCAGAAGCUCCCGACCGACCAGAUGCUACCUGGAGUGGAUAUCCAGCAGAGCACAAGUGGAGAGAAAGAGAUGGUGUUUACUCAGGAUCUGCUCCUGGAGUUCACCAAUCAGACCACACAGGUUGUGCCCCUGCGGGCCAUUGUGACUGUGCCUGAGCUGCAGCUGUCCAGCAGCUGGGUGGACUUUGGAACCUGCUUUGUGAACCAGCAGACAUCCCGGGAGAUCUACCUGAUGAACCUCAGCAGCUGCCGGAGCUACUGGGCUGUGCUGAUGGGUCAUCAGAGUGCCACCAAGGAGGCUAAAGACUUUGUUGUCUCCCCAAGCAGUGGGUUGCUGGAGGCACGACCCACCAAUGCGCCCCCAACCUCCAUCACACUUGAGGUGUUCUUCACUCCCAGGUACAGCUCCUCCCCACCUUCUGGCACUAUCCACAGGGCUGGGAGGCCCUGCAUAUCUCAGCCCCUCCUCUUCCACAGGAGCAAUGAGCUGUAUGAAUCCACGAUGGUGGUCGAAGGCAUGCUGGGAGAGAAGUCCUGUGCCCUGCGGCUCCGGGGCCAAGGCUCUUACGAUGAGACAUUCAUGGAAACUCACCAGCUCUGAGGCUCACCCCACCCCUUAGCCCCAGACUUAGCUUAAGGAACGAGAUGGCACAGGUUGAUGAACAGGUUUGUGGGGCAGGGACAUGGACUGAGGAUUUCUAAACAGCUCUUGGGAUGGAGGAGCCCCGCCCACUCUGAGGCAAAGGUCUUGCCUUAGCUUUGGGGACUUACAAUGUAGUGCCUGACACAAAAGAGGUCACACCAAUGUGGAGAUCAUAGCAGUUCAGACUCAGAUGGAGAGCACAGAAGUCCCCCAGGGAAAACACAACCCACCAAGAUAAGAUAACACACGAUUGAUUAUACCAUUGUCCCCUCCUCAUUCAUGAGGCCACAGUUUCCUAGGAUUUACAUGGAGGCCUUGUGGUAAGGCCCAACACCCUGCCCCCUCCUGUACUGUGUCAUCCAUGUUCACAGUUUCCAAAUUAUUUAAAGUGCCUUCACCAGUGGCUGAAUGUCCCACGUGGAUUCGCUUCCCAAGAGCCACU